CACGUAGGGCGCAAGCGUUGUCCGGAAUUAUUGGGCGUAAAGAGCUCGUAGGCGGUUUGUCGCGUCGGCCGUGAAAACCUGGGGCUUAACUCUGGGCGUGCGGUCGAUACGGGCAUCACUGGAGUUCGGCAGGGGAGACUGGAAUUCCUGGUGUAGCGGUGAAAUGCGCAGAUAUCAGGAGGAACACCGGUGGCGAAGGCGGGUCUCUGGGCCGAUACUGACGCUGAGGAGCGAAAGCAUGGGUAGCGAACAGG
rnacentral:rRNA from 1 species